GCCUUUGUAGUGUAAUGGUCAAGCACACUCACCGAGUAUUCGAGGUGGUCCGUGGUUCGAGUCCCGACGAAGGCA
rnacentral:tRNA from 1 species